UACGUAGGGGGCAAGCGUUGUCCGGAAUCAUUGGCGUAAAGAGCGUGUAGGCGGCUCGAUAAGUCUGCUGUGAAAGUCCAGGGCUCAACCCUGGAAGGCCGGUGGAAACUGUCGGGCUAGAGUCCGGAAGAGGCGAGUGGAAUUCCCGGUGUAGCGGUGAAAUGCGCAGAUAUCGGGAGGAACACCAAUGGCGAAGGCAGCUCGCUGGGACGGUACUGACGCUGAGACGCGAAAGCGUGGGGAGCAAACAGG
rnacentral:rRNA from 1 species